rnacentral:rRNA from 1 species
AGGUUGUGCCCUUGAGGCGUGGCUUCCGGAGCUAACGCGUUAAAUCGACCGCCUGGGGAGUACGGCCGCAAGGUUAAAACUCAAAUGAAUUGACGGGGGCCCGCACAAGCGGUGGAGCAUGUGGUUUAAUUCGAUGCAACGCGAAGAACCUUACCUACUCUUGACAUCCAGAGAACUUUCCAGAGAUGGAUUGGUGCCUUCGGGAACUCUGAGACAGGUGCUGCAUGGCUGUCGUCAGCUCGUGUUGUGAAAUGUUGGGUUAAGUCCCGCAACGAGCGCAACCCUUAUCCUUUGUUGCCAGCGGUUCGGCCGGGAACUCAAAGGAGACUGCCAGUGAUAAACUGGAGGAAGGUGGGGAUGACGUCAAG